rnacentral:tRNA from 1 species
AUCGUCUUAGACGGUGGGCGCUUUUUGCUUUGUGAGCAUAACAAUCCUCGAUGGCUACUUGGGCUGUUCUACAUGGUUAGACUAUU